rnacentral:rRNA from 1 species
AUAUUCUGUGAGCAGGAAAGCAGGGGAUCGCAAGACCUUGCGCUGAUUGAGCGGCCGAUAUCAGAUUAGCUUGUUGGUGAGGUAAAAGCUCACCAAGGCGACGAUCUGUAGCGGGUCUGAGAGGAUGAUCCGCCACACUGGAACUGAGACACGGUCCAGACUCCUACGGGAGGCAGCAGUGGGGAAUUUUGGACAAUGGGGGCAACCCUGAUCCAGCCAUGCCGCGUGAGUGAAGAAGGCCUUCGGGUUGUAAAGCUCUUUCAGCCGGGAAGAAAACGCAUGGGUUAAUACCCUGUGUGGAUGACGGUACCGGAAUAAGAAGCACCGGCUAACUACGUGCCAGCAGUCGCGGUAAUACGUAGGGUGCGAGCGUUAAUCGGAAUUACUGGGCGUAAAGCGUGCGCAGGCGGUUUUGUAAGACAGGCGUGAAAUCCCCGGGCUUAACCUGGGAACUGCGUUUGUGACUGCAAGGCUAGAGUACGGCAGAGGGGGGUGGAAUUCCACGUGUAGCAGUGAAAUGCGUAGAGAUGUGGAGGAACACCAAUGGCGAAGGCAGCCCCCUGGGUCGAUACUGACGCUCAUGCACGAAAGCGUGGGUAGCAAACAGGAUUAGAUACCCUGGUAGUCCACGCCCUAAAUGAUGUCAACUAGGUGUUGGGAGGGUAAAACCUUUUAGUACCGGAGCUAACGCGUGAAGUUGACCGCCUGGGGAGUACGGCCGCAAGGUUAAAACUCAAAGGAGUUGACGGGGACCCGCACAAGCGGUGGAUGAUGUGGAUUAAUUCGAUGCAACGCGAAAAACCUUACCUACCCUUGACAUGCCAAGAACUUUCCAGAGAUGGAUUGCUGCCCGAAAGGGAACUUGGACACAGGUGCUGCAUGGCUGUCGUCAGCUCGUGUCGUGAGAUGUUGGGUUAAGUCCCGCAACGAGCGCAACCCUUGUCGUUAAUUGCCAUCAUUUAGUUGGGCACUUUAACGAGACUGCCGGUGACAAACCGGAGGAAGGUGGGGAUGACGUCAAGUCCUCAUGGCCCUUAUGGGUAGGGCUUCACACGUCAUACAAUGGUCGGUACAAAGGGUCGCCAAGCCGCGAGGUGGAGCCAAUCCCAGAAAGCCGAUCGUAGUCCGGAUCGCAGUCUGCAACUCGACUGCGUGAAGUCGGAAUCGCUAGUAAUCGUGGAUCAGAAUGUCACGGUGAAUACGUUCCCGGGUCUUGUACACACCGCCCGUCACACCAUGGGAGCGGGUUCCGCCAGAAGUAGGUAGCCUAACCGCAAGGAGGGCGCUUACCACGGCGGGGUUCGUGACUGGGGUGAAGUCGUAACAAGGUA